rnacentral:rRNA from 1 species
UGACGCUGGCGGCAUGCCUUACACAUGCAAGUCGAACGGUAACAGGUCUUCGGACGCUGACGAGUGGCGAACGGGUGAGUAAUACAUCGGAACGUGCCCAGUCGUGGGGGAUAACUACUCGAAAGAGUAGCUAAUACCGCAUACGAUCUGAGGAUGAAAGCGGGGGACCUUCGGGCCUCGCGCGAUUGGAGCGGCCGAUGGCAGAUUAGGUAGUUGGUGGGAUAAAAGCUUACCAAGCCGACGAUCUGUAGCUGGUCUGAGAGGACGACCAGCCACACUGGGACUGAGACACGGCCCAGACUCCUACGGGAGGCAGCAGUGGGGAAUUUUGGACAAUGGGCGAAAGCCUGAUCCAGCAAUGCCGCGUGCAGGAUGAAGGCCUUCGGGUUGUAAACUGCUUUUGUACGGAACGAAAAAGCUUCUCCUAAUACGAGAGGCCCAUGACGGUACCGUAAGAAUAAGCACCGGCUAACUACGUGCCAGCAGCCGCGGUAAU